GAUGAACGCUGGCGGCGUGCCUAAUACAUGCAAGUCGAGCGAACGGACGAGAAGCUUGCUUUUCUGAUGUUAGCGGCGGACGGGUGAGUAACACGUGGAUAACCUACCUAUAAGACUGGGAUAACUUCGGGAAACCGGAGCUAAUACCGGAUAAUAUUUUGAACCGCAUGGUUCAAAAGUGAAAGACGGUCUUGCUGUCACUUAUAGAUGGAUCCGCGCUGCAUUAGCUAGUUGGUAAGGUAACGGCUUACCAAGGCAACGAUGCAUAGCCGACCUGAGAGGGUGAUCGGCCACACUGGAACUGAGACACGGUCCAGACUCCUACGGGAGGCAGCAGUAGGGAAUCUUCCGCAAUGGGCGAAAGCCUGACGGAGCAACACCGCGUGAGUGUUGAAGGUCUUCGGAUCGUAAAACUCUGUUAUUAGGGAAGAACAUAUGUGUAAGUAACUGUGCACAUCUUGACGGUACCUAAUCAGAAAGCCACGGCUAACUACGUG
rnacentral:rRNA from 1 species